rnacentral:lncRNA from 1 species
CUAAGGAUAGUAUCGAUCAACAUUCCUUCUAUAUCUCUUUUCUGUCUUCUUUGAACAGCAACGAAUUUCUUCAUCUUUAAGAUCCAAAAUGCUCUAUAAUCUCCAAAAUGCUCUAUAAUUUCCACAAUGCUCCAAAACACACCUAAACAUGAAAAAACUCUAAAAUAGACUCCAAACACAAAUAAUAGACUUUAAAAAGAACUUAUACUAUGGCUAAAAACUUAUACUAUGGCUAAAAAUUAAUAAAAUUCAUAGUAUAUCCACUCCCCCAGACUUAUCAUCUGCUCGCCCUCAA